GGUGGUGCAUGGUUGUCGUCAGCUCGUGUCGUGAGAUGUUGGGUUAAGUCCCGCAACGAGCGCAACCCUUAAGCUUAGUUGCCAGCAUUCAGUUGGGCACUCUAAGGUGACUGCCGGUGACAAACCGGAGGAAGGUGGGGAUGACGUCAAAUCAUCAUGCCCCUUAUGACCUGGGCUACACACGUGCUACAAUGGACGGUACAAACGGUUGCCAACCCGUGAGGGGGAGCUAAUCCGAUAAAACCGUUCUCAGUUCGGAUUGUAGGCUGCAACUCGCCUACAUGAAGCCGGAAUCGCUAGUAAUCGUGGAUCAGCAUGCCACGGUGAAUACGUUCCCGGGUCUUGUACACAC
rnacentral:rRNA from 1 species